rnacentral:lncRNA from 1 species
UGUGAUUCAUUAGAAGUAACGAGUUGACAUAAGGUAAAUUAGCAUUGAGGGGGCCUUUCUUCGAGUGCGCGGCGAAACUUCAUUAUCGCCGUCUCUAAGAAGGCAGGCGCGCAAUCCUUCUGAUUGGGCAGCUUUCUUUCCAACGGCAGGGCCUUUAGCGGGAUGCCCACCUAAGGAGGGUCAGUAUCAGAGACCGAUCAGAUAUUCAGCGUUUCCCUCCCCGCCCCCAGCCUGCUUUGCCUUCGCCUCGCACCAAGAACCUGGAGAUUUUAAAAAGUUGG